CGGUGCGCCUUAUGCAUGCAAGUCGAGCGAAGCUUUUCAGUAGUUUACUACAGAAAAUGACUGAGCGGCGAACGGGUGAGUAACGCGUGAGCAAUCUACCUUAGUUACAGGGAUAGCCCGAGGAAACUCGGAUUAAUACCUGAUAUUCUUUAUAUUUCGCAUGAAAUUAAAAGGAAAGGUCAGCCGAACUAAGAUGAGCUCGCGUUCUAUCAGCUAGUUGGUGAGGUAAAAGCUCACCAAGGCUACGACGGAUAGCUGGUAUGAGAGGACGAUCAGCCACACUGGGACUGAGACACGGCCCAGACUCCUACGGGAGGCUGCAGCAGGGAAUAUUGCGCAAUGAGCGAAAGCUUGACGCAGCGACACCGCGUGUGGGAUGACGGAUCUAGGUUUGUAAACCACUUUCAGGAGGGAAGAAAAUGACGGUACCUCCACAAGAAGCCCCGGCCAACUACGUGCC
rnacentral:rRNA from 1 species